GGGUUGUGAGGUUAAGCGACUAAGCGUACACGGUGGAUGCCCUGGCAGUCAGAGGCGAUGAAGGGCGUGCUAAUCUGCGAUAAGCGCCGGUAAGGUGAUAUGAACCGUUAUAACCGGCGAUACCCGAAUGGGGAAACCCAGUGUGACUCGUCACACUAUCAUUAACUGAAUCCAUAGGUUAAUGAGGCGAACCGGGGGAACUGAAACAUCUAAGUACCCCGAGGAAAAGAAAUCAACCGAGAUUCCCCCAGUAGCGGCGAGCGAACGGGGAGGAGCCCAGAGCCUGAAUCAGCAUGUGUGUUAGUGGAAGCGUCUGGAAAGGCGCGCGAUACAGGGUGACAGCCCCGUACACAAAAGCGCAUGUGCUGUGAGCUCGAUGAGUAGGGCGGGACACGUGGUAUCCUGUCUGAAUAUGGGGGGACCAUCCUCCAAGGCUAAAUACUCCUGACUGACCGAUAGUGAACCAGUACCGUGAGGGAAAGGCGAAAAGAACCCCGGCGAGGGGAGUGAAAAAGAACCUGAAACCGUGUACGUACAAGCAGUGGGAGCACAGGUUUACCUGUGUGACUGCGUACCUUUUGUAUAAUGGGUCAGCGACUUAUAUUCUGUAGCAAGGUUAACCGAAUAGGGGAGCCGGAGGGAAACCGAGUCUUAAUUGGGCGUUAAGUUGCAGGGUAUAGACCCGAAACCCGGUGAUCUAGCCAUGGGCAGGUUGAAGGUUGGGUAACACUAACUGGAGGACCGAACCGACUAAUGUUGAAAAAUUAGCGGAUGACCUGUGGCUGGGGGUGAAAGGCCAAUCAAACCGGGAGAUAGCUGGUUCUCCCCGAAAGCUAUUUAGGUAGCGCCUCGUGAAUUCAUCUCCGGGGGUAGAGCACUGUUUCGGCUAGGGGGCCAUCCCGGCUUACCAACCCGAUGCAAACUGCGAAUACCGGAGAAUGUUAUCACGGGAGACACACGGCGGGUGCUAACGUCCGUCGUGAAGAGGGAAACAACCCAGACCGCCAGCUAAGGUCCCAAAGUCAUGGUUAAGUGGGAAACGAUGUGGGAAGGCCCAGACAGCCAGGAUGUUGGCUUAGAAGCAGCCAUCAUUUAAAGAAAGCGUAAUAGCUCACUGGUCGAGUCGGCCUGCGCGGAAGAUGUAACGGGGCUAAACCAUGCACCGAAGCUGCGGCAGCGAACGUAUCACUUAAAGCG
rnacentral:rRNA from 1 species